rnacentral:lncRNA from 1 species
AAUUAAUGAAUUCAUCAAAAAAAAUUUGACCAUAAACCUGAUUUACCAUUGAUGACAACCUCAGCUAACCCCGUUCAAACCGUUAGAGCGGCACCCCUACUUCGCAGCCUUCUCCUACACGAUAUUUCACAAAAAAUCAAAUCCCCUAACUACAUUAUUACAUUAUUACAAAAAGGAUUAACCCAAUAGCUUACAGAAACCGCAACCUACCACCAAGGGAAACCCCACUUACCUGAAUCGUACGACAAACAAUGAAAUUUUAGAAUGUAACAAGAAGAACAAAAGAGUGUGAACGAGUAUUAAAAGGAAAAAAAUGAAAAUAUAAUGCAGAGAAAGGAAAGGGAAAAACGUCAAAAAAAUUUAAUGAGAAGAGGGAAAAAGAAAAGAAAAGAAAAGAAAAGAAAGAAAAAGAAAGAAAGAAAGAAGGAAAAAAAAUAAAAUAGAAUAAAAGUCCACAAUCCCUCAAAUUAAGGCAUGAUCUCUCAUCAAACCCAAUCCCAACUACCCACUCACUUAUCCACUUAUAUAGACUUUCAAUUCCAUCCAAACUCUCUUAAACAACUGAAGAAAAAAUCAUCACCCACGCUUAUGCAGGAAUUCAAACACAAGACCUCCAGCAAGCCAACUCCUUACCAUUCGAACCAGUAGGGUCAUUCUGAUAUGAGUUUACAAACAAUUUAACAUAAGCCCACCCAACAGGGAUAAGACUAGAAUAAAAAAUAAUAGAAUUUUCCAGAGGGUAGGACUUGAACCCCAG